GCCGAUGUAUUUCAAUUGGUUAGAAUGUCCGGCUUUUAACCGGAAGGUUCUGGGUUCAAGUCCCAGCAUCGGCG
rnacentral:tRNA from 1 species